rnacentral:rRNA from 1 species
UACGGAGGGGGCUAGCGUUGUUCGGAAUUACUGGGCGUAAAGGGCGCGUAGGCGGACAGUUUAGUCAGAGGUGAAAGCCCAGGGUUCAACCUUGGAAUUGCCUUUGAUACUGGCUGUCUUGAGUACGGGAGAGGUGAGUGGAACUCCGAGUGUAGAGGUGAAAUUCGUAGAUAUUCGGAAGAACACCAGUGGCGAAGGCGACUCACUGGCCCGUUACUGACGCUGAGGCGCGAAAGCGUGGGGAGCAAACAGG